GAGUUUGAUUAUGGCUCAGAUUGAACGCUGGCGGAAUGCUUUACACAUGCAAGUCGAGCGGCAGCGCGGGGCAACCUGGCGGCGAGCGGCGAACGGGUGAGUAAUACAUCGGAACGUGCCCAGACGUGGGGGAUAGCCCGGCGAAAGCCGGAUUAAUACCGCAUGUGAUCUGAGGAUGAAAGCGGGGGACCUUUGGGCCUCGCGCGUUUGGAGCGGCCGAUGGCAGAUUAGGUAGUUGGUGGGGUAAAGGCUUACCAAGCCUGCGAUCUGUAGCUGGUCUGAGAGGAUGAUCAGCCACACUGGGACUGAGACACGGCCCAGACUCCUACGGGAGGCAGCAGUGGGGAAUUUUGGACAAUGGGCGAAAGCCUGAUCCAGCCAUUCCGCGUGCAGGACGAAGGCCCUCGGGUUGUAAACUGCUUUUGUACAGAACGAAAAGUCUCUGGUUAACACCUGGGGAUCAUGACG
rnacentral:rRNA from 1 species